GAGUGAACUGGCUGCCAUAUCUGUCACCUCAUUGAUUGCCAGAGUUGAUUCACUGAUCUGGCUGGCUAGGUGGGUGUCCCUUUCCCCCAUCACCAGAUCAUGUGUGUCCCUCCCACCGUUAUGCACUAGGUCAAAGUGGACAACCUUCCUCAACAGAGGAGGAUUGUUCUUCCGUUAAGGGUAUAUGAGUAGCUGUACUCCCCUGCUAGAAGCUCCCAACAAGCUCUUGUUGUGAUUUUAAUUUGCAUUUUUCUGAUGAUUAGCACUGAGUACCUUUUUGCAUACUUAUUGGCAUUCAUAUUUCUUCAAUAAAGUGUCAGUUUGAAUGUUUUA
rnacentral:snRNA from 10 species